rnacentral:rRNA from 1 species
GAUGAACGCUGGCGGCGUGCCUAAUACAUGCAAGUCGAGCGAACGGACGAGACGCUUGCUUCUCUGAUGUUAGCGGCGGACGGGUGAGUAACACGUGGAUAACCUACCUAUAAGACUGAGAUAACUUCGGGAAACCGUAGCUAAUACCGGAUAAUAUUUUGAACCGCAUUGGUCAAAAGUGAAAGACGGUCUUGCUGUCACUUAUAGGUGUAUCCGCGCUGCAUUAGCGAAUUGGUAAGGUAACGGCUUACCAAGGCAACGAUGCAUAGCCGACCUGAGAGGGUGGUCGGCCACACUGGAUCUGCGACACGGUCCAGACUCCGACGGGAGGCAGCAGUAGGGAAUCUUCCGCAAUGGGCGAAAGCCUGCCGGAGCAACGCCGCGUGAGUGAUGACGGCCUUCGGAUCGUAAAACUCUGUUAUUAGUGAAGAACAUAUGUGUAAGUAACUGUGCACAUCUUGACGGUACCUAAUCAGAAAGCCCCGGCUAACUACGUG